UACGUAGGGGCCGAGCGUUGUCCGGAGUUAUUGGGCGUAAAGCGCGCGCAGGCGGCUUCGCGCGCCCGACGUGAAAGCCCCCGGCUUAACCGGGGAGAGUCGUUGGGGACGGCGGGGCUUGAGGGCGGGAGAGGUCGGUGGAAUUCCCGGUGUAGUGGUGAAAUGCGUAGAUAUCGGGAGGAACACCAGUGGCGAAAGCGGCUACCUGGCCCAUUCUUGACGCUGAGGCGCGAAAGCUAGGGGAGCAAACAGG
rnacentral:rRNA from 1 species